rnacentral:rRNA from 1 species
AUGCAUUUGACUACCUAUAGUAACUCAAUAGUCACAGUCGACGCGGAGGGGAAAGCUUGGAGGGAGAUUGAAAUGCCAGAUGACUUGCCAACCCUGUUUACACAUUAUUCCAUUGGCCAGUCUCAGGGGCUCUUGUAUGCUUGGAGGAUUGAGAAUAAUAUUGAUGAUUACCAGCUCUAUAUUUGGGUUCUUGAGGAUUACAUUAAUGGAAAGUGGGCACUAAAGCAUACACUGAGCGUUUUGAAAUUGUUUACAAGGCAUCGCAAAGGAUACUCCUAUUCCUUUACCAUGUUUGCAAUCCAUCCAGAUUGUAAUGUGAUUUUCGUUACCAACAAGCAGAAGUUAAUAAUGUCGUACAAUAUGGAUACUCAGAAAGUGCGCGUUUUCUCCACUUCUACACAAUCCACGUUUGGUCUACCUUACAUUCCCUGUUUUACGGAA